UCCUCACCGACGUAGAAACAGACAAACACCAAGGCGAUGCAGACAGGACAGGAAAAACACAACAGAACAUGACAGGACAUUCUCCGAAAUACGGGGAAAUACCCGAGCAGAUUAACACACAAGUGUGCAAAAUACUUGGCAUUAGGAGGAGUCUCUGUGCACCCUAUCACCCCCAAACAAAUGGGUUGGUAGACAGACUUAAUGGCACUAUAGAAAGGGCUCUCGGCAAGCGAGUAGAUGAGAGCUGUACCUGGAUGCAGUAAUAUUUGGACUGCGCACAAAGAGGC